rnacentral:rRNA from 1 species
UUGGACAAUGGGCGCAAGCCUGAUCCAGCCAUGCCGCGUGCAGGAAGACGGCCCUAUGGGUUGUAAACUGCUUUUAUACGGGAAGAAUAAGGGACACGUGUGUCCUGGUGACGGUACCGUAAGAAUAAGGACCGGCUAACUCCGUGCCAGCAGCCGCGGUAAUACGGAGGGUCCGAGCGUUAUCCGGAAUUAUUGGGCGUAAAGGGUCCGCAGGCGGGCAAUUAAGUCAGGGGUGAAAUGGUGCGGCUCAACCGUAGCACUGCCCUUGAUACUGGUUGUCUUGAGUCAUAGUGAAGUGGCCGGAAUAUGUAGUGUAGCGGUGAAAUGCAUAGAUAUUACAUAGAACACCGAUUGCGAAGGCAGGUCACUAACUAUCGACUGACGCUGAUGGACGAAAGCGUGGGGAGCGAACGGGAUUAGAUACCCCGGUAGUCCACGCCGUAAACGAUGGAUACUAGCUGUCCGCUACCUUGAGUAGUGGGCGGCCCAGCGAAAGUGAUAAGUAUCCCACCUGGGGAGUACGUUCGCAAGAAUGAAACUCAAAUGAAUUGACGG